UUUUUUUCCCAUCCUCUGCUAUCUAGAAGUUUGAAAAAGGGUAGUGUAGGCAGUGAACAAGCUGACAAUUCAGAAUGAGUAGUCAGGAGCUGUUUUCUACAUCUUUGUCAGUUCAGUAGUCAUUUACACCUAUGUGGCUGUGUUUCAGCAGUUACUUUUCUCUUGCUAGUUUUUAUUCUUUUCAAGAAUGAUACCUGCCCUCAUGUCGGCUUCUAUCAUUGAUAAAAAUCAGGUCAGAAUUCUUUGCUGUUUCACAUUCUAAUUUAUGUUUGUUGAUGCUGGUGUCUGUCUAACUGUUGCUACCAAGUCUCAGAAAUAUAUUUUAAAGAGGUCUGUGUUUUUUCAAUUAUUAUAACCUCAGCAAGGGGGCAGAAAAAUCAGUCUAGACAGCAACAGUGAAGGCAAUUAAAGCAGGCAGUAACUGCUUUAAUAUUGUAACCUUUAUGCAAUAUAUGGUCUGUACCUUAGGUGUGUUUUGUACUUUUAUAAACUAAAUCUGACUGUUAUCUGUUGCUGGUCUAUCUGCUAAGAAAAUUAGUCAUGUUAGUGCCACUGAAUGUCCAAGUAAUUAAAAGCAUUUUGCAGAUUUUAUUUUCAAACCUAAACAGUUGUUUUAAAAAUGAAACAUCUUGUCUUGAAACCUUAGUUGAGCUGUCAAAAUCAAAAUAAUUCACAUGAAAAUGACCAGAGUUUCAGUGUCUAAAUCUAUUUGGUUUUUGUUUGUCAAAAGUCUCAAUUUUGUCUCUUGGCUACUGGUCUCAUAAAAGGCAAGGUUAAUAUGCUAGGUUAACAUUAGCAUUAUUGGAAAUAUUUGGCUCACAUUCUUUCAAAUUAAUUUAAUUUCAAAGCUACCUUAUAACCAUUUAAAUACUGAUAUUUUUUAAGAGAGGAGUUUCAGACUGAGUGUUUGUUUUUCAGUCAUUGAAAUUGAAAUAGAAGCAACAGCUGGGUCUGAUUCUAGUUGAAAUUCUGAAAGCCCAUGGAGCAACAGGAACCAGCAGCAACAACAGAAAAGUAACCCAAAACAGUCCCAGCUGUCCCAAGUCAAGCAGCGUGGACUGAAGUUUAAAAGUAACAUAGGUUGAUAUUGUACAUGGUGAACAGGAGUUUUGGGACAUUUGUUAAUUUUCCAUGUUGUUUAUUGUAGUGUUAUACUGUAAGAUUUGAUACUUUCUUUCUUUUUUUCCUGAAGAAACUGGAGAACUUUUUCAGAUUUAUUUCCCCUCAUUUAUAGACAAUGUCUUGCUGAAAGAUGGGCAUUCAGGUAGAGAAUGGCUUGUAUCUGAUGCAGUUGCUCUUAGAAGAAGUAUAAAAUUAACUUUACAAAAAGAUUAACAGUUUUACAGCUAAUUCGCACAUUGUCAAGAAUUUGUAGCUUUAGAAAGGAGCUUUUACCCAUUAAGUAUUUUGUAAGGUUUACUUUCUGUUUUAGUGGAAGAAUCUGAUUGAUUAAACAAAAUGAUUCCUGAACACCCCCUCCCACACCCCAUUUCCCAAAACAUAUAUUUCUGAUCAUUACACAGUUUGUGGUAAAAUCCUUCCUUCUCUGUAAAAAUAGCUGAUGCUUUAAAAACUGUAAGAUACAGAAAUGGCACAGCAAACACCAAAUAUGUUGUAUGAGACUGUGGUUAAUUACUAGUUUGGGUCUAAAAAUCUUUGGAGUUUCAGUUGUUUGUUAACCAAUCAUAGAACAAAAUUCAGAUUGUUCUAGACUUGCCAUGCAGUGGACAGUUUCUGUAAAUGGCUUUCUUUAAUCAAGACUUCAGCAUACAUAUUUUUUUCAGUCUAUAAGGUACAUCUCUACCCUACCUUCUUCCUUUUGCACAGUUUCCCUCCCUACUGCUAAGAAAUUACUAUCACUCAUGGAAGGACUAUCUUCAGUUCUAGGUUUGGGGGUAUUUUCAGGUAUAAAUUGUGUAUUUUUUGUUCGCUGGUUGAUCACAUCAGAUCCUAUUUUCCUUCCUGUCUCUGUGGUCUCCUAAUAGGUAGCACUGUAACACCCUAGGGUAGAUGCAAGUAUGAGUCACUGAUCUGUGGCAAGGUGGAAAGGUCCCUUGCUUAACUAGAAAGUUCUUUCUACCACUUUCUCUUAUCUUUUGUUUUAUUACUUCUGAUCACCAAAGCUUGGACUGUUCACUGUGGCCUAUCUAAUUUGGUUAUUUGGCAGAUUCAAAAAGUUUCAUAACUCUGAGAAGAGAAUGAGGAAAUCAUUAAAUCCUUCUGAUGUUAAUUUUAGUCCUGUUUUUUCACAGAUAGCCUUCUAACAUUUUUCUCUAAUAAGAGAAAGGAGUACCAGGGGGUUUCACAUAGGAGAAGACGCAACACAGCUUUGAUCGUGACUACACAUGGUGUUUAUGCUGAUCUGAUUGCCAAAUUAGCAUACUACAUGCAGAUUAUUUAAAUGGCACUCAUUUGAUUUAAAUGUGCUGGUCAGCCAGUGCAUCAUAGCAGUAGAAUAUCUUCCUGAGAGAAUUUACUGAAGACCUCUUAAAUAGCACAGUUGUCCAGUAAGACCUUUUCUGUGGGAUGUCAAGCACUGAAUAGUUGAGAUGUAGUGGGAAAGCUACAUAUAGUACUUUUUUCUUUUAGCACAGAGAAUGUCACAGUUCACUUUAAGAGCUAGUAGCUCAUCAAUUACUUGCAUCAGAUUUACUACACCAGCUUGUGCACUACCUAUUGGAAAUCUAAUCCCUUCCCCAUAAAGUUUUUUGGCUUGUUAAACAUAACAUUUGAAAUUAAUGUGCAACAUUGGAGCUAAAGUAAGGUUCCUAGCAUUUUCAAAAACAUAGCCACUGAAAUGGCAGGAAUUCCUUUGGAGGUUCUUUAUUAAACAUGAGCCGUAACCCUGUGAAAGUACUUGUAUUUUCCUUUAGACUAUUCUGUCUGCUAACUUAAAUUUCUGAAGAAGGGUUAAAAAUACCCCAAGGCAUCAUGACUGAGUAACUUAAAUAAAGGAAUCUUGUUUUACUUGAGGAGGAUCUGCAUUGUAUUAUUAGAAUUUAGAACUAAAAUUCAUUUGAUCUUUGCAAAGGAAAAUAAAUGGUACAGUGAAUUGGCUGUCAAGCUUUAUUUAGAUCAUGAAGGAUGUUGGCAGGCAGCAGUUCAUUUGGUAUAAAUCAUGUUUAAACUGGCAUUAGAGGAGCCUGUUCAGGUUAAUUGUGGGUUCCCUUGUCUUUUUCAUAAUGGAAAGGCAAAAAAAAAAUGCACGCAGGAGGAAUAUUCUGAAAGUUGUGUGAAAAAUGUUCAUUAUUCCAGUCUUGUAACUCUUUCACUGUUUAUAGCUCUAGAGUGAAAUUUGGAGGAGGAAAAAGCUAGUUAGUGUGGUACUUAAGCAGUCUCUAUUAUCAUAGUGCUGGAGCUUGCAGCCAUCUUUAAUAUAUAAAUCUUCAAGACAGAGAGGGUACCAGGUCCUUUUUUAAAGAUGGAGAUUUGAGGCCUAGGGUAAUAGCCAGAUACCUGAUCAUAUACUAGGUGUUCAACUCCAACUGAAAAAUCUUUGUGGAGCUGAGUCUCCAUGACUUGCCCAAGGACAUACAGAAGGCAUGUGGCAGAACUCUGACUUGAACAGGAUCUCCUGAGGCCGGUGCUGUAACACCAGUUUCACCAUCUGUGUUUGUAAAAUUUGAGUGUGUUUUAGAUUUACUACAUUCAUUUUUCUUAUGCCUCUAAAACCUCUGAACUGUUGCAGCACUCACAGUGCAGAUCAGCCAAAGUCUGCACAAACACUGUGUUCCAGCAAUUAGUAUCUACUUUGUCAUAUAUUUCUUUAAAAGAUUGGGAAAUGAAUUUGGUUUGUUGAUUUUUUUUUUUUCUUUUUUUUUUCCCCUUUGUAACCCAAAUGUUAACACAACAACCUGUUACUUCCUUUUAACCAGACUUAUGCACUGUUUUAAGUUAGUUAAUAAAACUUUCCUCUAAAGACCUACAGUCAUAACAAGUAAAGAUUGUGUAAAAAUUACCCAACCCGGUCAUGUAAUUAUGAUUUAUGAUCUCAAAGUGAAAACUGUCAAGGAAAACAUGUCAGAUAUUGGUAACCAGCAUAAUCUCAAAGGAAAAAAAUGUACUGUGCCUUCUGUCACGUUCACAAUCUUACAUACAGAUCGUACACUUUCUUAUAUUUUAGUAUUUGCUUGCUUGAUUUUUUUUUUUUUUUU